rnacentral:rRNA from 1 species
UACGGAGGGUGCGAGCGUUGUCCGGAAUCAUUGGGCGUAAAGGGCGCGUAGGUGGCCCGGUCAGUUCGUGGUGAAAGCGCGGGGCUCAACCCUGCGUCGGCCAUGAAUACUGCCGCGGCUGGAGCACUGUAGAGGCAGGCGGAAUUCCGGGUGUAGCGGUGAAAUGCGCAGAUAUCAGGAAGAACACCCAUGGGCGAAGGCAGGCUCUCUGGGACGGUACUGACGCGAGACGCGAAAGCGUGGGGAGCGAACAGG